GCAGUCGCCGCGGGAAUACAGAGGGUGCGAGCGUUAAUCGGAUUUACUGGGCGUAAAGCGUGCGUAGGCGGCUUCUUAAGUCGGAUGUGAAAUCCCUGAGCUUAACUUAGGAAUUGCAUUCGAUACUGGGAAGCUAGAGUAUGGGAGAGGAUGGUAGAAUUCCAGGUGUAGCGGUGAAAUGCGUAGAGAUCUGGAGGAAUACCGAUGGCGAAGGCAGCCAUCUGGCCUAAUACUGACGCUGAGGUACGAAAGCAUGGGGAGCAAACAGGAUUAGAUACCCCUGUAGUCCUGUCUCUUAUACA
rnacentral:rRNA from 1 species